rnacentral:rRNA from 1 species
AUUGAACGCUGGCGGCAGGCCUAACACAUGCAAGUCGAGCGAGCCGCGCAGGGGUGUGUAAUGUGUGGGGCUCUGCCUUAUGGGGGGGGAUCACUACUAGACACGGUAGCUAAUCCCGCAUACCCUCAUAUGACCCCAUAUGGUUUUAGCUUGUAGGUAAGGUAACGGCUUACCUAGGCGACGAUCCCUAGCUGGUCUGAGAGGAUGAUCAGCCACACUGGGACUGAGACACGGCCCAGACUCCUACGGGAGGCAGCAGUGGGGAAUAUUGCACAAUGGGCGCAAGCCUGAUGCAGCCAUGCCGCGUGUAUGAAGAAGGCCUUAGGGUUGUAAAGUAUUUUCAGUCGGGAGGCGUUACCGACAGAAGAAGCACCGGCUAACUCCGUGCCAGCAGCCGCGGUAAUUC